rnacentral:rRNA from 1 species
GACGAACGCUGGCGGCGUGCCUAAUACAUGCAAGUAGAACGCACAGUUUAUACCGUAGCUUGCUACACCAUACACUUUGAGUUGCGAACGGUUGAGUAACGCGUCGGUAACCUGCCUGGUAGCGGGGGAUAACUAUUGGAAACGAUAGCUAAUACCGCAUAAUAUUGAUUCUUGCAUGAUAAUUGAUUGAAAGAUGCUAUUGCAUCACUACCAGAUGGACCUGCGUUGUAUUAGCUAGUAGGUGAGGUAACGGCUCACCUAGGGGACGAUACAUAGCCGACCUGAGAGGGUGAUCGGCCACACUGGGACUGAGACACGGCCCAGACUCCUACGGGAGGCAGCAGUAGGGAAUCUUCGGCAAUGGACGAAAGUCUGACCGAGCAACGCCGCGUGAGUGAAGAAGGGUUUCGGAUCGUAAAGAUCUGUUGUAAGAGGAGAACGGGUGUGAGAGUGGAAAGUUCACACUGUGACGGUAGCUUACCAGAAAGGGACGGCUAACUACGUG